UAUACGGUGAAACUGCGAAUGGCUCAUUAAAUCAGUUAUCGUUUAUUUGAUAGUACCUUACUACUUGGAUAACCGUGGUAAUUCUAGAGCUAAUACAUGCUAAAAACCCCAACUUCGGAAGGGGUGUAUUUAUUAGAUAAAAAACCAACGCCCUUCGGGGCUCCUUGGUGAUUCAUAAUAACUAAACGAAUCGCAUGGCCUUGCGCCGGCGAUGGUUCAUUCAAAUUUCUGCCCUAUCAACUUUCGAUGGUAGGAUAGUGGCCUACCAUGGUAUCAACGGGUAACGGGGAAUUAGGGUUCUAUUCCGGAGAGGGAGCCUGAGAAACGGCUACCACAUCCAAGGAAGGCAGCAGGCGCGCAAAUUACCCAAUCCCGACACGGGGAGGUAGUGACAAUAAAUACUGAUACAGGGCUCUUUUGGGUCUUGUAAUUGGAAUGAGUACAAUUUAAAUCCCUUAACGAGGAACAAUUGGAGGGCAAGUCUGGUGCCAGCAGCCGCGGUAAUUCCAGCUCCAAUAGCGUAUAUUAAAGUUGUUGCAGUUAAAAAGCUCGUAGUUGAACCUUGGGCCUGGCUGGCCGGUCCGCCUCACCGCGUGUACUGGUCCGGCCGGGCCUUUCCUUCUGGGGAGCCGCAUGCCCUUCACUGGGCGUGUCGGGGAACCAGGACUUUUACUUUGAAAAAAUUAGAGUGUUCAAAGCAGGCCUUUGCUCGAAUACAUUAGCAUGGAAUAAUAGAAUAGGACGUGCGGUUCUAUUUUGUUGGUUUCUAGGACCGCCGUAAUGAUUAAUAGGGAUAGUCGGGGGCAUCAGUAUUCAAUUGUCAGAGGUGAAAUUCUUGGAUUUAUUGAAGACUAACUACUGCGAAAGCAUUUGCCAAGGAUGUUUUCAUUAAUCAGUGAACGAAAGUUAGGGGAUCGAAGACGAUCAGAUACCGUCGUAGUCUUAACCAUAAACUAUGCCGACUAGGGAUCGGGCGAUGUUAUCAUUUUGACUCGCUCGGCACCUUACGAGAAAUCAAAGU
rnacentral:rRNA from 1 species